rnacentral:rRNA from 1 species
ACCUACCAUGCAAGUCGAGCGAGAUCUUCGGAUCUAGCGGCGGACGGGUGAGUAACGCGUGGGAACGUACCCUCUUCUGCGGGAUAGCCACUGGAAACGGUGAGUAAUACCGCAUACGCCCUUCGGGGGAAAGAUUUAUCGGAGGAGGAUCGGCCCGCGUUGGAUUAGGUAGUUGGUGGGGUAAUGGCCUACCAAGCCUACGAUCCAUAGCUGGUUUUAGAGGAUGAUCAGCCACACUGGGACUGAGACACGGCCCAGACUCCUACGGGAGGCAGCAGUGGGGAAUCUUAGACAAUGGGCGCAAGCCUGAUCUAGCCAUGCCGCGUGAGUGACGAAGGCCUUAGGGUCGUAAAGCUCUUUCGCCUGUGAUGAUAAUGACAGUAGCAGGUAAAGAAACCCCGGCUAACUCCGUGCCAGCAGCCGCGGUAAUACGGAGGGGGUUAGCGUUGUUCGGAAUUACUGGGCGUAAAGCGCACGUAGGCGGAUUGGAAAGUAUGGGGUGAAAUCCCAGGGCUCAACCCUGGAACGGCCUCAUAAACUUCCAGUCUGGAGUUCGAGAGAGGUGAGUGGAAUUCCGAGUGUAGAGGUGAAAUUCGUAGAUAUUCGGAGGAACACCAGUGGCGAAGGCGGCUCACUGGCUCGAUACUGACGCUGAGGUGCGAAAGUGUGGGGAGCAAACAGGAUUAGAUACCCUGGUAGUCCACA